rnacentral:rRNA from 1 species
UGGGGAAUAUUGCACAAUGGGGGAAACCCUGAUGCAGCGACGCCGCGUGAGCGAAGAAGGUUUUCGAAUCGUAAAGCUCUGUCCUAUGAGAAGAUAAUGACUGUAUCAUAGGAGGAAGCCCCGGCUAAAUACGUGCCAGCAGCCGCGGUAAUACGUAUGGGGCGAGCGUUGUCCGGAAUUAUUGGGCGUAAAGGGUACGUAGGCGGUCUAUUAAGUCAGGUGUGAAAGCGUGAGGCUUAACCUCAUUAAGCACUUGAAACUGAUAGACUUGAGUGAAGGAGAGGAAAGUGGAAUUCCUAGUGUAGCGGUGAAAUGCGUAGAUAUUAGGAGGAAUACCGGUGGCGAAGGCGACUUUCUGGACUUUUACUGACGCUCAGGUACGAAAGCGUGGGGAGCAAACAGG